AUCCAGACUCCUACGGGAGGCAGCAGUGGGGAAUUUUGCGCAAUGGGGGAAACCCUGACGCAGCAACGCCGCGUGCGGGACGAAGGCCCUCGGGCUGUAAACCGCUUUCAGCAGGGAAGACGUCGACGGUACCUGCAGAAGAAGCUCCGGCUAACUACGUGCCAGCAGCCGCGGUAAUACGUAGGGGGCGAGCGUUAUCCGGAUUUAUUGGGUUUAAAGGGUGCGUAGGCGGAAUGCCAAGUCAGCGGUAAAAUCGCGGGGCUCAACCUCGCUCCGCCGUUGAAACUGGCGUUCUUGAGUGGGCGAGAAGUAUGCGGAAUGCGUGGUGUAGCGGUGAAAUGCAUAGAUAUCACGCAGAACUCCGAUUGCGAAGGCAGCAUACCGGCGCCCAACUGACGCUGAAGCACGAAAGCGUGGGUAUCGAACAGGAUUAGAUACCCGAGUAC
rnacentral:rRNA from 1 species